UGUCACUUUCGAAAUACAACUGUUGUUGCGUGACGGAAUGCAAUUUUAGUUUUUUAUAGGCGAGAAGUUAGUUGUUUAAGCAUCAAAUAUGUGGUCGGAUUGUCCAGAUUCACGUACAAUACUUAAAAAUAUGUUCCGACGAUUUCGGAGAUGUGGGGUCCUGAUAGCGGACCCGGAAGUCUCGCUAGCACCUGGCGGUCAGGGCUCAGCUGCCCAGGUAUCUCCGAAGAGGUUAAACGUGAGGUAAUUUAGUUUGGAGGCUCUAAUGAGCAACAUUUAGUCUCAGUUCAUUAUUUGUUCGCAUGCAAUGUUGCAGCACUGGUCGCUCUGUGUCUGCGCUUCCCCGGUAACGCUUUAAGUCAAUAUGUUCAUGCUUGUGCCUUGUUGGGAGCGAGCAAGCCUUUUCAGACUGGCAUUUACUGUGCAACUGUCCUACAGCGAGUGGAGCUGAGGGAUGCAACGGGUUUAGACACCUGGACAACGGGCAGACGUUUUUCCGUUACGGUGGACUGCUGGUGAUCUUCCGCUGUCAUCCCAGCUCCAUGGAUACAAGACCAACAGCUGUGCGUCUGGAGACUGAUCCCCGGUCUGUGUCUGCGAGGAGCUUCAUUCAUGAGCAUUUACUUUCUUUUGUUUUACUUUGUGACUCAAAUUUUAGUCUCAAGCUUCCUUUUUUCCUUCCGAGAGGAGACCAAUGGUCCUGGUCAGGAUCAGACUUUGAAUCACUUUCAAUGACAUUCCCCUGCUCUUUCAGGCUCGGCAGUGUUCAGCUGCAAUAGUGGCUUUCAACUUCAUGGGCUGUCAAUGGUAACGGCCGCACCUGGAAGAGCACCAAGCCCAUAUGCAAAGAUAUAGACUAGUGUGCUGUUAACCAGGGGCUCGGCGCGUGUGCGGAGCAGCGCCAUAACGCACCAGGAUCCUACCGGUGCUCCUGCUCAUAUGGUUACACCUGAGCCGGAAACGGCAACAGCUGCAUCGCAGUGUCCACCUGGCUACAGGAAGCAACCCGCAGCACCGGAGAAUUCACCUGCACAGGCUCUCAGGGAGGAGUGUGGGUCAUGCCGAGUAUGUCCCCAUGUUUCUCCAAAGGAAUCCUCGUUACAUUUCUGCGUGUCCAUACAGAUAUAAAUGAGUGCCACGAGGAAGCGUGCGAGUGGCAGCGCGUCAACCUCCCGGCUCAUAAGCCCCAGAGGGUACGAGCUUCAGAGACGGACGGCGCUGCGAUGGUCAGUGAGGUCAACCACGCUCGGCAUAAUUGCAGUUUGUACAAAUGAGAAGGUUCAUGUGUGAAUAUAUCCACAACACAUACUACUCUUCCUUUCUGUCGCUCAUCCAGACAUUAACCAGUGGGGCCAGAGGAAUGGAGGAUGUUCCCACCUUUGAACCAAAAGGGUGGCCAUGAAUGCGCCUGCUCACCCUCCCAUCAGCUCUCCCCCCACAGCUGGAAGAAAUGUGUCCCAAAACAACAGCAAGCUCUGCUGGCUGAGGUUUGUGAAGACACAAGAAAUGACACCAAAAAAAAAGGAAGUAUCAUCAGACUGUUCUCGCCAACCUAAAGAACCUUUGGACCCAUGCAACUGGCUAAGAACAUAUGAGAACUUGAGGGGUUACGUAAUAAACACAUUAGUCCAACUUGUUUGAAGGAUUUCUGCUAUUUUUCUUGAAACUAUUUCAAAAAUGUAUUAGUUAAAAAUGUAUCCAUUUGAAUUGUAUUUCAGAUUAUGUUGUGUGUGUAUUUUGAAUGAAUAAACAAAUGUGUAAAUCACCGUU